AUUGAACGCUGGCGGAAUGCUUUACACAUGCAAGUCGAACGGCAGCACGGGGGCAACCCUGGUGGCGAGUGGCGAACGGGUGAGUAAUACAUCGGAACGUGCCCAGUCGUGGGGGAUAACGUAGCGAAAGUUACGCUAAUACCGCAUACGAUCUACGGAUGAAAGCGGGGGACCGUAAGGCCUCGCGCGAUUGGAGCGGCCGAUGUCAGAUUAGGUAGUUGGUGAGGUAAAGGCUCACCAAGCCGACGAUCUGUAGCUGGUCUGAGAGGACGACCAGCCACACUGGGACUGAGACACGGCCCAGACUCCUCCGGGAGGCAGCAGUGGGGAAUUUUGGACAAUGGGCGCAAGCCUGAUCCAGCCAUUCCGCGUGCAGGAUGAAGGCCCUCGGGUUGUAAACUGCUUUUGUACAGAACGAAAAGGUUUCUACUAAUACUAGGAGCUCAUGACGGUACUGUAAGAAUAAGCACCGGCUAACUACGUGCCAGCCGCCGCGGUAA
rnacentral:rRNA from 1 species